rnacentral:rRNA from 1 species
GUCUUUUUGAAUUAAAUUUAAAGUCGAAUCUGCCCACUGAUUAUAAAAUUAAAGGGCUGCAGUAUAUUGACUGUACAAAGGUAGCAUAAUAAUUAGUCUUUUAAUUGAAGACUUGUAUGAAAGAUUUGAUGAGAUAUAAACUGUCUCUUUUUUACAAUUAGAAUUUAAUUUUUCAGUAAAAAAGCUGAAAUUAUUUUAAAAGACGAGAAGACCCUAUAGAGUUUUAUAAUUAAUUUAAUUAUAAAUUUAUAUUUAAAUUUAAAGUUAAUUAAUUUAAUUAUUUUGUUGGGGUGAUAGAAAAAUUAAAUUAACUUUUUUUAAAUAUAAUACAUUAAUUGAUGAUUUUUUGAUCCAUAAUUUAUGAUUAAAAGAAAAAAUUACCUUAGGGAUAACAGCGUAAUUUUUUUUUUUAGUUCUUAUAAGAAAAAAAGUUUGCGACCUCGAUGUUGGAUUAAGAUAAAAUUUAAAUGCAGAAGUUUAAAAUUUUGAUCUGUUCGAUCAUUAAAAUCUUACA